CCGCCUUAUCUGCUCUUUUCUUCUCCACCUUAGCCAUCUUCUUCUUAAACUAAAUCUAAAGACACCCCCCGUCAUGCAAGUUACCUUUUCUUAUCCAGUAGCUCUAGAAUUGGGUGAGCCCUUUUGCAAUAAAAAGAUGUGGGGAUAUAGAAUAAUCGAUGUGAUUCAUUUAAUUUGUUUAUGACAGUGUACCGAUUACAUUUGUUCGUUGUAAUAAAGUUGUCUUUGCAUUGGAAGAUUCAUACACCGAUAAGGUAAGUAGGAGACAGCCUUGGUUGGACCAUCCUCGAUCCUGCCAGUCCUGUCACAUUUUAUGACCAGAAGUUAUGGAUAUAUAGCCUCCUUCACAUCAUAUGGAUCGCAAUAAGUGGUAGUUGAAGUAUAUAAUUUAGUAUGAUUAAUUCAUUUACACGAAAUAGGUUCAUGUAAAAAAUAGACAAAAUGUUUAAGCUGUUGCGUGUGUGUGCAAGUCUACUGCGACAGAUCAAAAAAAAUUGACAGAAGAGUCAUUCUUGAACAUUUCACAUCAGACAUCUGUUUCUUUUGAUGCCUAUGCGGAGAAAGCAGUCUUCCUAAAGUCUAAAAGAAAGCCCGGACUAGAUUCAUCUUUGUUAAUUUAGAAAUUAUUUAUUCAACUACGUUAAUUUGAGAAAUAUUUUCCCCACUGUUCUAAAAUGGGAAAAAACUCGGAAACCUCACCUUUCCAAAUUUUUUCCCACCUGAUGUUGUGCCUGGCCUGCAACCCCCAGAACCUGAGAGACUUCUACGCAUAGCUUUCAGAACUGGCGGUUCCAGUUUCUGAUGUUUGCCUCCAAAUUCUGACCGUCACCCUCUGAGGACCACUUAUCCGGACAGGACUCAGAGGGAUCCCUAUUGCUUGUACUGGGAAAAAAACAGAAUUCCUUGUUUCUACGUUGAGAAAAAUAACAAUAGCGUAGGCAUGAAACCCAUACUUAUUAACUGAAAUUCCAGCGCAGAUCAAGAGCCUCCUCGCUUGCAAUUUGAUUUUUCGCUCAGAUGCAAUUCAAAUUUCAUGCGCUCCAAAAUAUUAUUAUUAAACAUAACCUCAUGGAUUCACCCGUUAAUUUGAAGUCUCUGACUACGUAAGUUGAGAUGUAUUUUGAAUUGUUAUUGAUAUUGACCUGAUCAAACUUUUCAGUUGUAUUUUAAAUUAUUAUUUAUAUUGAUAUGAACAAACCCAUGUAAUUUAAUAGGUUAACUUAUGAUUUGGUUAACCCUUUUAAAUAUCAUCCAAGCUUAGUCUAAAUUUGACAAUGUCAAAACUAAUGAAUGUUUUUUUAAAAAAAAAUAUUGAAACAAUGUCGUUCUAAAAUAAAAUAAUAUAUUUGGAUUAACCUAUCAAUCUAGCAAUUAGAACCCGCAACCUGGUUGAUCCAACUAAACCCGAUCAAGUUGCGACAAAAAUGAAAAUAAUGAACGUAUUUUGUAUCCAAAGUCAGGGUAGAAAUCUCAAUAUGAAAUUGUGUCGAUAAGGAAUCAAGAGAUAAUAAGGAAUAAUGACUGAUUGGGCAAUCCCAAUUCAGUAUGUUAAAUGAAUUGAACAGGACAAGAAUAUAUUCUGUGAUAAUGAAGGUCAAAUAUCAUGGAAAGAUCAAAGAUCAUUACAUUACAAGAGCAAAGAUCAUUACAUUACACUUUAUACUAAAAAGCAUAAGUCUUUCAUUAUGUAAAUUCACAAUGCAAGACUGAUUUUACCCCUUGGUGGGCAAAGUAGCAUGCCUCGGGUUUAGGGGUAUCGUGGUAUUUUUCAUGAAACACAUUGGCCAUUAAUUGAAAAGGAAGGGGUUAGACAAUAUUUUUAUACUUUCUUUGCACAAUGUGAUUACUUAAUUGCCCUUAAAAAACAAAAAAAAUAAUUCAGUUGGGUUGAGUGGUUUUUUAGUUUUUGACUUUAUUUUUAAACAAGUUACUUCAUUACCCUUGAAAAUUAAAAACAAUUAUCUUUGGCUUAGGGGUUUUUUUUGUCAUUAACAUGUGGUCAUUUAUUAGUUAUUGGAUGUUCUUAGUAAGGUAAUUUGAUAAAUAAGAUCAUUAAAAAAAGAAUAAGAAUCUGGUUAGCAGUGUCAGUCACCUUCUAACAGUGUGUGUGACGUCGUCCGGUGAUCAAAACCAUGAUUAUAAGGUGACUUUUAAAGUGUCUCAGCUUCCCCUCCACAGAUCAGCGGUGGAUGUAGCACUAUUGUGAUCAUGUGGCAUAAAUAUCCUUUUAAUUUUUUCCUCUCUUAUACUCGAUUUUUUUCAAUAUUCUCUUUAUUAUAAUUUUAAAAAUUUAGAAUACUUUAUUAAAUGAAUGAUUUUUUAUUUAUUUAAUCCCUGUUCUUUUUGUUGUAAUUUUUUUUAUUGAGAAUAGUUUAUUAAAUUAAUAAUUGUUUUCAAUUUCAUCCCUAAUCAAUAUUUUUAUCUAACAAAUUUAGUUUUCAUUCUUUUAAUUACUAUUUUUUUAAUUUUAUAUGGUUUUUUAAAUUAUUUUUUUCUAGUUUCUUCUUUCUUUAGCUUUUUUACCUAUCAAAUAUAAUAUUUUAUUAUUAUUGUGUUUUUUUGACCUUGCGAGAAUUUUUUAGAUUGAUUUUUUUUAUUAUUAUUAUUUCAUCCUCCGACAUUUUAUUAUUAUUAUUUCAUCCUCCGACAUUUAAUUAGACGGGUGUUUAACUUCUUGGUUGAGUCCGGAUCUAAAUUUAACAGUUUGUGAGUUUAAUAAAUUAACCUCGGUUUCUAAGUUGACACGGGUUUCUUUGGUUGUUUUUUUCCUCUUUUUUUAGCUUAUUUUUCUCAUCCUCUAGCAUUUUGUUAUUUUUAACUCACUUUCUAUUGUAUUUUUAAGUCGUUUCGAAAAUAACAUGGGUUGUCUUGUUUUUUUUUCUUUGUUGAAUUUAGUUUUUAUAAAGGAAUUUUGUUUUUAAAUUGAUUGAUUUCAUCCUCCAACAUUUAAUUUUUUAGGUGUUGAGCUCUUGGGUUGAGACCUAGUCAGAAUUUAACGAAUUGCGGAUUUGAGAGUUUAGCCUGAGUUCACAAGAUUUACUCCGGCUUACUUGGUUUUUUUUCCUUUUUUAAGCUUUUUUGUUUAAUAUUUCAUUCUCUAACAUUCCUUUCUAACUUUAUUUCUAUAGGAUUUAUCUUUUCUUUUAAAAUAACUCGAGUUUACAAAGUUUACUCGAGCUUGUUUGAUUUUUUUUAAGUUUUUUUUUAUAUUACAUUCUUUAACAUUCUCUUUUUAUUUUUUUUCUAUAGGAUUUAUCUUUCCUUUUAAAAUAACAACGUCAACAUUGGGUUUUUAUUUUAUUUUAUCUUUGUUAAUAUUUUCUUCUUUAAAAGAAAUUUUGUUUUUUUAAUUAAAUUAAAUUUAUUUAUUUUAUCCUAUCAUUUAAUUUGAGGCAAUACCUGAAUGAUUUUUUUUAAUUGAUUUUUUUAAAAAUUGAUAUUCUUUGUUUUUUAGCGUUUCUUUCUAUAAAGUUAAUAUGAUAUAAUGUCUAGAAUCAUAAAUUCAACAGGUUUAUCAAGUUUGAUUAGGUCUUUAUUUUACUGUUUUUUAAUUUUUUUUUCAUAACGAAUCAAUGACCAAAAUUUUUGAUUUUUAUAAAAAAAUAAAUUUGCAUUAUCUUAAUCUUUUCUACAAUUAAAAAAUAUAAUAGUUCUACAACAAAUCACGUGCACGUAUCUAGUAACAAUAUCAAAACGAUUGAGGUGGUCAAACAGACAAACUCCGAAAAAGGGCGAUGGGCUCAACGUGGGGGUUUUUUUUUAUCUAUCUGAUCCAUACCAACAAAGCACUCAAAGAAGAAUGGCGAAUCAAUGAGGAGACGUAAUUUUGUCAUGUAAAAUGUAAAGACGAAGCAUUCUUUACAAAGUGUUUGUUUCUAUAUAUUUUAACAAUAUUUGCCUAAUUCGCAUGCCGUCAAAAACUGGGCCGGCAGGAUAAAUUAAGGACUGAAUCCUGGUUUCAUCUUCCACGAUGACGUUCUAGAAUUUCAGUCAAACACUUAAUCAGAUACCUUUCGCAAACAUCUCAUCGUGCAUAUAACUGUUUAUAACUCCCUCAUGCUUAGAUAUCCUCUCUCCCUCUCUAUAAAUAGUUGCAUUCCUAUCCUUGGAGGAUCAUCAUCUGUCUUUGCUGAAGACAUUUUUGAAAGAAUAUAUAUAUUCUCCCCCUCGUUAUUUCCGAAAUCAAAGAAUCCUUAAAGAGAUUGUGCUCCUAAAACGUUGAUUGUCAGAGGCAAGAAAAUGGCUAGCCGGUUGUGUUUCAAUAUUGGGUUCUUGAUUGUUGCAUCGGUGGGUUUGCUUCACGGUGCAUAUGCAGCUAAUACUUACACAGUUGGAGGUGGUUUGGGAUGGAUUGUUCCUCCGAACAGCACUUACUAUGAGGAAUGGGCCAGCCAGAGGACAUUUCAGAUAGGAGACUCCCUCUGUAAGCAUUUCUUGAUCUCUUUAUGAGCUUAUUAACUAAUUACGACUCUAUUUAUUGCGUGCAUGCAUGAUAUGAUACUGAUGUUGGUCCAUAUAUAUCUCGGGUAUGCCUAGUCCUAUACAUCAGGUUUGGUUCUUAAACCUGAGUUAACAUAUAGGUAUAGGUUUGGUGGAUUUGUAAUGAGGAACAACCACCUUCUACACAUAUUUUUCAAGUCGAGUCCCUUACGCACAAUUCGUUGUCCAAAUUAAGGACUCAAAAACAAGCAUGCAUGCAUGGUUUUUCCUCAAAUUAUUCCUACUCCUUUCCCGAUCAAUCAAUGAGACGUGUUUUCCUUUUCAUUUCUUUCAGUUUUCAACUCGACAACCGGAACACAUACCGCAACUCAAGUGAGUACCAAGGAGGAGUAUGAUAAUUGCACAAAGACGGGAUUGGUACUAAAGGUAGGUUUUGGAGUUCAAGUCACUUUCAAUGAAAAUGGUACGCACUACUUCCUCUGCUCUGAAGGGACACACUGUGAGCAAGGCCAGAAGAUGAUAAUCAAGAUUGGAGAUGGCAUAGCGCCAAGUUUUGCAGCUCCGUCUCUUACCGCGGCCGCCGCCUUAUCUGCUCUUUUCUUCUCCACCUUAGCCAUCUUCUUCUUAAACUAAAUCUAAAGACACCCCCCGUCAUGCAAGUUACCUUUUCUUAUCCAGUAGCUCUAGAAUUGGGUGAGCCCUUUGGCAAUAAAAAGAUGUGGGGAUAUAGAAUAAUCGAUGUGAUUCAUUUAAUUUGUUUAUGACAGUGUACCGAUUACAUUUGUUCGUU
rnacentral:lncRNA from 1 species